GACGAACCGAGCGAACGUUGUUCGGAAUCACUGGGCUUAAAGGGCGCGUAGGCGGGUUCUCAAGUCCGGGGUGAAAUCCCACAGCUCAACUGUGGAACUGCCUCGGAUACUGGGAGUCUCGAGGGUGGCAGGGGUAUGCGGAACUAUCGGUGGAGCGGUGAAAUGCGUUGAUAUCGAUAGGAACUCCGGUGGCGAAGGCGGCACACUGGUCCACUUCUGACGCUGAGGCGCGAAAGCCAGGGGAGCAAACGGG
rnacentral:rRNA from 1 species